rnacentral:rRNA from 1 species
UACGGAGGAUCCGAGCGUUAUCCGGAUUUAUUGGGUUUAAAGGGUGCGCAGGCGGGAGAUUAAGUCGGCGGUGACAUUUUGCAGCUCAACUGUAAAAGUGCCUUCGAAACUGGUUUCCUUGAGUGUAGAUGAAGUAGGCGGAAUUUGUGGUGUAGCGGUGAAAUGCAUAGAUAUCACGAGGAACUCCGAUUGCGCAGGCAGCUUACUAAACUACUACUGACGCUCAGGCACGAAGGCGUGGGGAUCAAACAGGAUUAGAUACCCCCGUAGU